UACGAACGCUGGCGGCAUGCCUAACACAUGCAAGUCGAACGAGACCUUCGGGUCUAGUGGCGCACGGGUGCGUAACGCGUGGGAAUCUGCCCUCUGGUAUGGAAUAACUCAGGGAAACUUGAGCUAAUACCGUAUAAUGACUUCGGUCCAAAGAUUUAUCGCCUGAGGAUGAGCCCGCGUCGGAUUAGCUAGUUGGUAGGGUAAAGGCCUACCAAGGCGACGAUCCGUAGCUGGUCUGAGAGGAUGAUCAGCCACACUGGGACUGAGACACGGCCCAGACUCCUACGGGAGGCAGCAGUGGGGAAUAUUGGACAAUGGGGGAAACCCUGAUCCAGUAAUGCCGCGUGAGUGAUGAAGGCCUUAGGGUUGUAAAGCUCUUUUACCCGGGAUGAUAAUGACAGUACCGGGAGAAUAAGCCCCGGCUAACUCCGUGCCAGCAGCCGCGGUAAUACGGAGGGGGCUAGCGUUGUUCGGAAUUACUGGGCGUAAAGCGCACGUAGGCGGCUUUGGU
rnacentral:rRNA from 1 species